GUGUUGAGUGAAAGGAGAGAAGGUUAACAUUCCCCUUGAUAAGGAUGGAAGAGGUCCUAGUGGCCUUUGCAACACACAUAUGGUGAAAGCAUUGCCACCUACUCUGUGGCAUCUAACCAUGUUUUUGC
rnacentral:ncRNA from 1 species